rnacentral:rRNA from 1 species
UACAGAGGGUGCGAGCGUUGUCCGGAAUCACUGGGCGUAAAGGGCGCGUAGGCGGUCGGAUAAGCGUGCGGUGAAAGCCCGGGGCUCAACCCCGGGUCGGGCGUGCGGACUGUUCGACUGGAGCACUGUAGAGGCAGGUGGAAUUCCGGGUGUAGCGGUGGAAUGCGUAGAGAUCCGGAAGAACACCGGUGGCGAAGGCGGCCUGCUGGGCAGUUGCUGACGCUGAGGCGCGACAGCGUGGGGAGCAAACAGG